AUGGUAUUUGUGUUUGGAACAACUUAUGUGUGUGAGCAAACAUAUUCACAAAUGAAUUAUGUGAAGUCAGUACAUCGAACGCAAUUGACUGAUGAACAUUUGCAAACAAUUCUCCAGAUUGAAUCCAGCAAUUCCAAACCAAACAUAGAUGAUAUCUUGGAAAACUAAAAAAAGAAACUUUAUUUCAGAUUCCCAACCUAUGCAUAUUCAAAGGAAACUACAACAUGUAUUGAUAACGUUCCCCAGGAAUCCUGUUUAUUUACAUAACAAUACUAUAUAGAACAGUAAAACAUUAAAUCGUAAUAAAAAUCUGGCACUGAUGGAGACAUAGAGAGUUUGGACAUCCACAACAAUGGGUAAAGCUUCAAAUAAUAGGAUCUGUAUGUAUAGUAAAUAAAAAUUAACAGGGACAAUGGGUUACCCCAAUUUUCUUUGAGCAGAAGGAAAUAGUGGUUGUCGCCAUGUACUGUGAACUCCUGUCUGACCAAGUGAUACCUUGGAUGAAAGCUAAAUCCAAUAAUAUUGAGUUCAUGUUGCAACAAGGCUUAGACCCCUCCCACAAGGCUUGCAACACCCAAAACUUGCUUAAGGAAGAGAAGGUCCCAUUUUGAACUCCCCCUAUAUGAAUACCAUGGAUUACUUUUUUUAGGAAGAGUUAGAGAAGAAGGUCUCUGCCAAUUCCCAUAACAUCAUUGGCUCCUUGAAGGCCUCAUCAUUAAGUACUGGAACAAGUUCUUCCCAUGGACGUUUUCAAGGCCUGCAGAUUCUUUUAAUUCACCUCAUUUAUAGCUACUACAAAAAUUUUAUGGUAAUCUGUUUUUUUGUUUGUUAG
rnacentral:lncRNA from 1 species